UACGUAGGGGGGCAAGCGUUGUCCGGAUUUAUUGGGCGUAAAGAGCUCGUAGGCGGCUUGGCAAGUCGGGUGUGAAAACUUCAGGCUCAACCUGGAGCGGCCACUCGAUACUGCUAUGGCUUGAGUCCGGUAGGGGACCACGGAAUUCCUGGUGUAGCGGUGAAAUGCGCAGAUAUCAGGAGGAACACCGGUGGCGAAGGCGGGGUCUCUGGGCCGAUACUGACGCUGAGGAGCGAAAGCGUGGGGAGCGAACAGG
rnacentral:rRNA from 1 species